rnacentral:lncRNA from 1 species
CCCAAACUUUACUCUCCUUUAACAAUCCACCACAUACACUCCAGUCAACAUCACGCAUCGUCGGCAACGAAGCUGUUGUUGCCGCCGAUCAUGGAGUUUAGUCUGGAGGUCCAAAAUGAAUCAGUACAUGGUAAAUUUACUUAUCGAUUUCGUUAAUGGUACUUGCUGGAGCAGGGUCAAUGAGACUCAAAACCAGCGCACCGUGGUCCGAGUGACGGUGGUUCUCUGAUGGUUGAACAACCUAGCCUUCUCCGGUUCGCCCUGUCAUUACCACAACAAUCACUACCCCCAUAACCACAGAGCAGUAGCAAUGCCCUCACUACCUUCUCCGGUUCGCCAUCACCACAACAAAGCAAUGCCAUCACCACCCGCCUUUACCAAGACUAGUAUAAGACUAGUAUGGUUAUUUUGAUAGGUGUAAUUAUUACUUUAAGUUAGUUAUGUUAGUUUUUGGAAAAAUUAAAAAAAGUCUUUCUAUAUCAUUUUCUGUAAUUAUGGUAUGAAUAUGUUGAAUGGUUUGAAUAUGUAUAAUUAUGGUUCAUAUUGU